GAUGAACGCUGGCGGCGUGCCUAAUACAUGCAAGUCGAGCGAACGGACGAUAAGCUUGCUUCUCUGAUGUUAGCGGCGGACGGGUGAGUAACACGUGGAUAACCUACCUAUAAGACUGGGAUAACUUCGGGAAACCGGAGCUAAUACCGGAUGAUAUUUUGAACCGCAUGGUUCAAAAGUGAAAGACGGUCGUGCUGUCACUUAUAGAUGGAUCUGCGCUGCAUUAGCUAGUUGGUAAGGUAACGGCUUACCGAGGCAACGAUGCAUAGCCGACCUGAGAGGGUGAUCGGCCACACUGGAACUGAGACACGGUCCAGACUCCUACGGGAGGCAGCAGUAGGGAAUCUUCCGCAAAGGGCGAAAGCCUGACGGAGCAACGCCGCGUGAGUGAUGAAGGUCUUCGGAUCGUAAAACUCUGUUAUUAGGGAAGAACAUAUGUGUAAGUAACUGUGCACAUCUUGACGGUACCUAAUCAGAAAGCCACGGCUAACUACGUG
rnacentral:rRNA from 1 species